AUAACCCUCCGAAAGGAGAGCUAAUACCGGAUACCCCCACCGAACCGCAUGGUUUGGUGAGGAAAUGGAUUCCGCUUCGGGAGGGCUUCGCGGCCUAUCAGCUAGUUGGUGGGGUAACGGCCCACCAAGGCAUCGACGGGUAGCUGGUCUGAGAGGACGAUCAGCCACACUGGGACUGAGACACGGCCCAGACUCCUACGGGAGGCAGCAGUGGGGAAUCUUGCGCAAUGGGCGAAAGCCUGACGCAGCAACGCCGCGUGGGGGAUGAAGGCUCUCGGGUUGUAAACCCCUUUCAGCAGGGACGAAUCAAGACGGUACCUGCAGAAGAAGCCCCGGCUAACUACGUG
rnacentral:rRNA from 1 species